rnacentral:SRP_RNA from 1 species
AUAUUGGCUAGACUGGAGGGUUAGGGGUCCUCUGUAAGCACACACCCCCUUAGGUGUGGUCGAAAUUCAAGGGGCGACCUGUUGAUUGGAUUUAAGCCUGUAAAAUUGAUAUAGAAACUUCGUCCUACAGGAUUAAUGGUCAUAAAUCUUUAACUGGAGGGUUAAAGUUAAUUAUGUUUAUUAUGGGAAUGUGUUAGGUCUGGAAAGGAGCAGCUCUGCUAUAAACAGCUGAUGCUUGUAGAAAAACGGGGUGGAGUUGAUUUUGCAGAUUACUUACUUUUAUGAUACUUGUCCACCUUUGAAUGUGCCAUUUU